rnacentral:rRNA from 1 species
GACGAACGCUGGCGGCGUGCUUAACACAUGCAAGUCGAACGGAAAGGCCCUGCUUUUGUGGGGUGCUCGAGUGGCGAACGGGUGAGUAACACGUGAGUAACCUGCCCUUGACUUUGGGAUAACUUCAGGAAACUGGGGCUAAUACCGGAUAGGAGCUCCUGCUGCAUGGUGGGGGUUGGAAAGUUUCGGCGGUUGGGGAUGGACUCGCGGCUUAUCAGCUUGUUGGUGGGGUAGUGGCUUACCAAGGCUUUGACGGGUAGCCGGCCUGAGAGGGUGACCGGCCACAUUAGGCCUAAGAUAGGGACCAGACUGCAACGGGAGGCAGCAGUGGGGAAUAUUGCACAAUGGGCGGAAGCCUGAUGCAGCAACGCCGCGUGCGGGACGACGGCUUUCGGGUUGUAAACCGCUUUCGCCUGUGACGAAGCGUGAGUGACGGUAAUGGGUAAAGAAGCACCGGCUAACUACGUG